rnacentral:tRNA from 1 species
GUUAAAGUGGCUGAGAAUUAGGCAGCGGUCUGUAAAACCGUUAACGGGACUAUUCCCCUUUAAUA